CGUAUGCGUCCUGGCGCCGAGGCGACUGAAGACGCUUCUCUGCUCGGACUUCGUUCUUCGAGGACGUCGGCAGAGAAAUCCAAUAAUGAGUAAUGUGAAGACGUUAAAUAAAUAGGUACCUUGUACCGUGUGCGUCCUGGCGCCGAGGCGACUGAAGAUGCUUCUCUGCUCGGACUUCGUUUUUGGAGGGCGUCGACAGAGAAAUCCAUCGAUGAAGGGACGAGCCGAGCUCGUUGGUUGAAGCUGGUAAAGAAUGAGCCGUGCUUGUUUGGCCAAUAAAGACAACAUCCCAACGUAUCGGGGCAUCCCGAUGAACCGGGGCGUCUCGACGUCUCGAGGCAUCCCGGCCGAGGUCGGGGUAGGAGCACGAGCCGAGCUCGUCCGGUCAGAGGACCGCUAUUCAGCAAUCGAUGGAGCACGAGCCGAGCUCGUCCGGUCAGAGAGGACCGCUACUCAAUA
rnacentral:lncRNA from 1 species